UGGUUAUAUUUUCUGCUUCCUUGCUGAAGUUGUCAAGCUGCUCAUCCACUCUUCUCUCAAGUAUGGUGGUCAUCUUCAUGGCUAUUGCUUUGAACUCUUGAUCAGGGCAAGACUUGCUUUGGAGUGGUGCUGGUUCUGGAUGGGGUUGACCACAAGGCAUGGCAGGGUAAUAGUCGCUAUACAGGAACACCUGCAAUGAGAGAUCACGAGUUGGGGAGACACAGAAUCUGAAGCACCCACCAC